ensembl:lncRNA
UUUGAUACAUAGGCAAACUCAUAAAGCUCACAGGGAAAGUUCUUUUGAACUAUUUUUCACUGGUAGUACAAGGGAUUAACCAUUUAAGUAAAGUAUUCUGAAAAGGAAAGGACCCUGUUUAAAAGCCAGAAGUUUUGCUCUGUAAAGAGAAACAAGUUCUAUAUGCUAAGGAGAACUCCAAGUGCAAAAGCUCCUGAAGAUUUCAGUGUGUUUUGUGGUGGUGACCUUUCUCCCUCAGGAUCAAGAGGGCCCAAAGGACCUGAGGUCAAAACCACUUUGUCAGAAGAGCUGUGUGUCCCCAUAAAAGACACAACCUCCACCGAGAGAGCUUUCACUGUAAGUGAUAAAGGCAGCCCAAGGAAAUAUUUUGAUCCCCUAUUAUACUGACAAAGAACGGAGAAGGAGAUUAAGUGAUUUGGCCAGAGCUCUCCAGGAAAUCUGAGUCUACGAGUCCUCAGCUUUAAUGUGCAAGACCAUCUUUCCUCUGCUAGGAAACAGAUGUUAAAUUGGAUGUUAAUUUUGCCAUGCAACUUUUUUAGAGAACUCUGAAAGGCAAAGAGUCUCCAAGAAUCAUUAUUUUAGCAAGCUACCAGCGCAGCAGUCUUGCAUCUCAAAAGUAAUUUGUUCCAUCUUUGUUGGCAGGCUUUAAAAGGUCUUUUGUUUUUACUCACUGAUCAGUGUAACAAUCUAUUUUGAAAGAUAUGUGGGCUGAUAUGGGAUAUCAUUUAUUUAUUUCAGUGGUAGCUUUUUGCAACAAAAUGUAUAAAGCUUUUAAGUGUUGUGGAUUGAAGCCUCUGAUGUCAAAGAUAAACAUUAGGAUUGUAAAUACAGAUCCUCUAAAGUAUUGUAAGUACUGUAAUCAGUAACAGAAUUUCACAUUAUUCACUUGCCUGCCUUAAAGUGCUGAAGGUUUUUCCUUUUAAAAACCACAGGCGCAUACAUAAUCAGCCAAUACAAACAACUGAGCCAAACAUGAAAUGUGAGUUAAUUAUAUAAUGUGUAUGGCAUUACAUAAAAUUCCCAUUUAAGACUAGACUUCAGCACCGUACGGGUUAACGUACAACGCCACUUGGCCUUCCUCUCCUCUUUUCUGCAAUUCAAAUCAGUCUUCUGGAAAAUUGGCCUCCGUACCAGUGACGUGCUGCUGAACUUACGAGAUCUCAAGAAUAUCCUACUAGAUUUCAUCCUUUUGUUGUAGAAUUGUUUCCAUCUGGGGCCCAGAUAUAAACUUGGAAAAUGUAAAGGUUCUUGCCUCUCACCCUAUCUGACUUCAAAACAUUGGCAAAUAACUUUCCUUGUCAAUGCAGUACAGAUUGGAUUAAAACAUUGGAGUAAAUUAUGUUUUUGUGGGUGUGGGAAUUAGUGACAUUUAUUGAAAUUUUAAUGUACUGUCUAACAACCCAAUACAUACUUUAAAAUCAAGUGAAAAUUAACAUUGAACACAACAGAGUACUAGAGAAUACUAGAUUCUAGAAAGAAAUAUUAGUCACAGGGGGCCAGAUCUACUAAAGAACACCGUUACUCACAUUUGCAAGUGCUUCAUUUGUGUGCAGAACCUCAGCGUUUGAGCAUAACUCUCUGGCCUGAGUCCACAUAGCUGUUUUACACAACGGGAGUAGCUAGGCUGGGAACAUAAUUGCUAUCAGCUCCUUUACGCCCAGUGAAGGCAAUGGUGAUUAUAUAUUUGAAUCUGUAUCUCAUGCAAAAUUAAAUUCAUGUUCAUUUAUUUGCAACCCAUUGCUUUAUGCCACUGCGUCAAGUGAAAAUGGUUCCGGUACGGAUAUUAUCUACAAAGAUAUUGGCUACUAUCCCUCAAAUGGACAAGUAAGCAAAAAAGCAGAGGAUGUACUUA